GAUGAACGCUGGCGGCGCGCCUAACACAUGCAAGUCGAACGAUUAAAGCACCUUCGGGUGUGUAUAAAGUGGCGAACGGCUGAGUAACACGUGGGCAACCUGCCCCUCUCAUUGGGAUAGCCACGGGAAACCGUGGAUAAUACCGAAUACUUCGAGACUUCCGCAUGAAAGACUCGAGAAAGCUCCGGCGGAGAGGGAUGGGCCCGCGGCCUGUUAGCUUGUUGGUGGGGUAACGGCCUACCAAGGCAAUGAUGGGUAGCUGGGUUGAGAGACCGACCAGCCAGAUUGGGACUGAGACACGGCCCAGACUCUUACGGGAGGCAGCAGUGGGGAAUCUUGCACAAUGGGCGAAAGCCUGAUGCAGCGACGCCGCGUGCGGGAUGAAGGCCUUCGGGUUGUAAACCGCUUUCAGCAGGGACGAGGCGAAAGUGACGGUACCUGCAGAAGAA
rnacentral:rRNA from 2 species